ensembl:lncRNA
UAUUACAUGAGAGUUGAGCAGUUUGUACCAGUGAAUUCAUAUUAAUUUGUUUAUGUAUGUAUGUGUCUGUCAGUAUGUAUAUAAAUGUUUAUUUCAUUCCUGAAUUUGUAAAGUAAGGGAUAAUGUACAUCCAGCCGGUUGUUAUCGCAGAAUAACCCGGGACCCAGGUUAGGACCCUGAUGCGAAGCUACUUGCCACAUAAGUAAAUAAUUAGACACGAAAUAUUUAUUUGAGUUGAAAUAUUUGAACGCAAAGUUUCCGUGAACACAGCAGUUGCGAGUAAGUGGCAAGUUCAAACUAGACGGACAUUUAAGGGAAACGGUGCAGUCAAACCACUUAUUACACAACAUUUCACCACAUAAAUAAUUAAGGCAAUAAAAAAUUUAAGACGAAAAUGUUUUACAAUCUUACCAGUUUGUUAGUUAUCUUAUAAUCCAUUACAGCGUACAAAACAAUCACAGCAAAAUGGCAGCAGCUGCGUUUGUAUAAAACGAGAGAGCGUGUGGCGAUACCAGGAUGACAUAAUUAAAUAAUUGUACACCAUUUUGAAUCGAGUUUUAAUAUUUUAUUAGCUAAACAAACGCAAAGCUUCCACCAAGAAAAACUGUUCCUAGCAAGAGUACAGCGCCAACUUCAGUUAACCGGAUGAGACUGUGUUAUCAGCUUUGUUAUCGAGGGAUAACAUACCUUGGAAUGUCGCGACUGACCAAUCAGAAUCAAGUAUUCCACAGAGCCUAAUAAUUAUUUUUAUAUCAUGUGGCCACCAGAUAAAAGUGCAAAAAUCAUAACAUUUUUAUACAUAUUCGUAUUUGAUUUUAUAUUUAUUUGUGUGUAUGUUUUUAUUAUGUUUAUGUGCAUAUAAAUGUUAAUAGAUAUAUACUUCCCUUUUAUGUGAUCUGUAUUUCUCCAGCGGAUCCAGGCUCUAGCACUAAGAAUGUUUUCACGCGGCUGCUGAAAGUGGCUCAGCGUUACCUUUUGGAGUCAGGCAAGCACAGUGCUGCUGCCAGGUCUUCUCCUGCCAAGAAGAGCCCUGCCCUCGGCCCCCUCCCCAAAACCACAACUUCCACCUCCUUCACACAGGCACAGGGUCGAACCAGAAGGAGCAGUAGCAGGCGUUCCCAGAAUUCCACUCUGGGUGUAGCCAAGGAGGAGCAGCUCCCUUCUCAAGAUUCAGAUGGAGGUGCCACUGAAGACAGCUCCAGCUCUUCGGCCUGGCGUGUGAGGUCAGGGCCCGUGGGUAAAGUGGCUCGCAGAAGGAGCCGAGGUCAGUCCGGACGAGGAAGUUCCCUUCUGCUGAAGAAUCGCAGCGCUAGAUCUCAACAGACAGCAGCUCAAACGUUUGUGCGGCCAGAGAGCAGCAACAAUGAUGAAUGUCAAGAAACCCAAAGCAGGCAUGUGGCGCUGAAUGAGAGAAACUUCAUCACCUGCCCAAUGACAGCAUGUCAAGUGCGAGAAUCACAGCUAAUUUGAGCCCUCGAGGAACUGGUCAUGGAACAAAGUGUGCUUACUUCAUAACUGUUCAAUGAAACACUGUCAUUUGACAAUUAAAGCGGGCCCUGCCUGACUCCACCUCCACUAUCUCUGACCACGUGUUGCUGAUAUGAACUACCAACUUUACGUAAGUCAGUGUUAAUGUAUGAAUGUAGGAUUCUCAAAACCUAUUAUUCAAUCAAUAAUUUAGGGAAUGUCCAUAUUUUAAUGUAGCUUUUAUAUUCAUUUAAUAAAAGAUUAAUUCAUAAUGAACUUAUUGCUUCU